GCCAUGUUAAGAGUACCGGUGCUGUUAUAUAACAGUGAGACAGUUUUAGACACUAUCCCAAAAUCCUCUAGAUACUACUUAAUCCAUAGUUGCUGAGCACAAUAUGAAGCAGCUGCAACAUGCUCUGCUUCUAUAGUGAAAAGUGCCACUGAGUUUUGCUUCUUUGUACUCUAGACGACUUGAGAAGAUCCUAAAAAUGAGCCAUUAUAGAGGUAUUUUUCCUAUCAACUUGUACCUUGCAUAAGCUGCAUCAGCAUAAAUAAUUAGAUCAAAAGAAUCACCAAAUAGAUAGAUCGGGACCAGGUUCCCCAUUCAAUUCAGAUAUCUUUGAAUCCUCUUUACAGCUUUCAAGUUCAACUCCUUUGGACAUGAUUGAAAUCUUACACAUAUUCACACACCGAAGACAAUAUCAGGUUUGCUAGUAGUUAAGUACAAGAGGAAUCAAAUAAUUUCUCUAUACAUAGUCUCAUUCACCAUAGGAUCCGGCCCAUCAGGAUCUAGUUUUGAGCUAGUACUAAUGGGGGUGUCAAUAGGUUUGGCAUAAUUCAUUUGGAAUUUUUUAGAAGCUUCUUGAUAUACUUCUCUUGACUAAUCAUUAUACCACUGGGAGUUUGCUUGACCUACAACCCUAGAAAGAAGCUUAGCUCACCCAUCAUGCUUAUUUCAAACUCAUUUUCUAUUAGUUCAUCAAAAUUUUCACAUAGUGAGUUUGAGGUUGCUCCAAAGAUUAUGUCAUCCAUAAAAACUUGGAUAAUCAACAUAUUCUAUCCUUUUGACUUUAAGAAAAGGGUGUUGUCAAUUUUCCCCCUCUUAAACCAUUUUCAAGAAUAAAUUUUGAUAGCCUUUCACACUAUUUCCUAGGAGCUUGCUUUUGUACACCUACUUGGUCCUUAUAAUGGUUAUGUCAUCAGGUCUAAGGACCAGGUGCCAUACUUUAAUUCACUUAAAAUAAUGAAUUCUUCCAGGUUUAUUGACUAGGACCUGGUCUACACGUCGGAUUCCAGAGAAAAGGUAAGAUUAUCAGUAGAUGAGAUGAAUUGUGCUUCUAAUUUGGUCUUUUUAGGCUAAUUGUGGUUGACUGGUAGUAGGGACCUCAGUGACUUGGUUUUAAGAUUCAAGAAAUUGUGAAUCAAUAGUUUCUAAGGGAUCUUUUGAGGACACAGUACUUUUGCUUAUUUAGUUGCACCAACUUCAUCAUCUUGCUUAACUUAAUCUUUAUUGUUUUCUUCAUUAAGACUCUCUCUAAAUCUAAAGAAGUUCCUCAAUAUAUAUAUCAUCUUUAUCCUUCAUUUCCUUAUCAAUACCUGUCAAUGACAUAACAUGUAGUGUUGACAUCUUCAGCCUAGAAGUUCUUAAGUAGAUCCACAUCAAUCAAUAUCGUUCAGGAAAUAUCAACAAGAAUUCUAUUUUUCUUUCAACCAUAUCAUUUUGAUUAGGAGUUUUGAGAGUUGAGAAGUUAUGACUUAUUUAAUUUUAUGUGCAGAAAUCUUCUUACCUUGCAUUUUCAAAUUCUAUUCGAUGGUCCGACCUAGUCCCUACACUUUUUCUGUUCAACCUCACUUGUACUUGCUUGGCAAAAAUCAACAAUACUUCAAAAGUUUGAUCUUUGGACCUCAAGAACAUAGUCAAAGUGAACUUUCAAAAGUCAUCAACAAUAAUUAGUAUGUACUUUUUUACUCUUCUACUUUGAACCUUUACAGGAUCAUAUAGAUACACAUGAAGUAUAUCAAGAGGCCUAGUGGUACUGACUUACUUCUUCGACUUGAAUGAACCUGGACUGAUUUUCUUUGGUUUAAGCAUUAUAAUUUUGUUAUCUGCAAACUUAAUCAUGGGAACCCCACAUACCUGGUCCAUGGAGACCAACUUGUUUAGAAGUAUAAAGCUAACACAAUUCAAUUUUUGAUAACAUAGAUCAUUUUGUUACUUUGAGCAUUAAGAUGGGUAAGAUCAUCACCAAGGACUAAGUUGAAAUUUGCAACAUACAUAUUCUUGAACCUUCUUGAUAGUAUACAUUCUUGAUUGCAUGAUUGAGAAAUUUUACAAUCUUUUCAGUGCGUAAGUUAUACCCUUCUUUCAAUUUCCAAAAGAGACAACUCCACCUUGAAUAGCCUUUUGUAAGAGGAAUUCUUCUAUUCUACCAGUCAUAUGCUUUGAACAUCCACUACCCAUAAACUAAUUAUAACAACUUUCCCUUACUUCCACCUACACAUAAAGAUUAUUUAUUAGUUUUGGGAACCCAUUUAAGCUUGAGUUCCAAAAAAAAAAAAGAUAGGGGUACAAUCAAGGCCUUCUUUUUCCAAACAGGCAACUUGGCUUUCUUGAGUUUUGAAAAAGGAAUAUGUCCCUUUCUUACUCGUAUCUUCUAUUUGACAUGCUUUGAAAGACUCUUCUUAAUUGCUAGCCUAGCGUGACAUUUAUUAUUGACAUGUCUAUUCUCCCACUAUGAGUACACAAUAGGUCGUUGACACUAACAUAUAUUCACUAUGGGGGUUGUAGCGAGGGUUCACCUUUUUUCACCUCAAUCAUUGGCCAAUGUCAAACCUUUGACUAGUUAGACAAGCUAGAAUUUGAGAUGAAGCAGUCCAUUUGAGGGAUUAAUUAAAAUCUUUCUUAAUAUGGACCAGGUCCUCUCUAACUCAACAUUUCUUUCAAGACAGAUCAACUUGAGAUUUGUUUAAUCUCUCUUCAAGCUCAAGUUGAAGGAUACUUCCUCAAUAUUUUUUGUAGAAGCAAACUCAAAAGGUUUUCUUAACAUCUCUUUCUCUUAGCAUUUUCAGAUGACAUUAUACCAAGCUUUUCUUCCAACUCAGAGAUUUGAAAGUUAGGGCAAUUUUUUUAUUUUCAAAAUCAUCUAGACUUACUUUCAAAAAAUAUUUCUCCUUUUUAAUAUCACAAAGAGAAUCAAUCAAGACAUUAGCUAAACUUUUUAGUUUCUUCAAGGAAUAGUCCUUGAGAUUUUGUUUAAUGUUAAGAAGGGUUACCUUUUUUAUCUUCAUCAACUUCUGAUUUAGCCAUAAGAGUAAAAAAUGAGUUGAAUGAAUUAUCAUCAUCCUCUACAGCCAUCAUAGACGCAUCUUCAGGGUGCUCAAACUCAUCAGAUUACUGGACAAGUCCCCUAAACAGCAAGAGCUUGCUUGAAGCUCUUGAAAACGUAGUCUGCAACAGCUUAUCUUGGGGAUUUUUUGGGACCUGGGCCCUUCUUUUGCCUUUGUCACCACCAUCUUUGUCAUACUCCUUGUACUUCACCUUAUAUCGAACAAUCUUUAAUGAAAUGGAUAGGUAUGCCACACUUGUGGCAAUAAUCAUUUCCAUUUGAGGACUUACUUGUAUUUUCUCUUCUCAGAAAUCCACCAUUCUUUCUUACCAUUUUUUGGAAUCCUUGUGUAAGAUAAUCCAUGUCUUCAUAUUCUUUACUAGAUUCUCCCAUAGCAACCUUGAGAACUAGAAUCUUUUCCUUUUUAGGCUCCCUUUUUACUUGAUCAUGCUGAUUCUUAAGUUCAUAAUUUUUCAAGUUCCCUAUCAACUAAUCCAUUAUAAGAAUCUUGAAGUCACGAUCUUCAGUGAAGCAUCAAAUUUACUUUCCCAAAACUCGAGAAGAAUUCUAAGUAUUUUUCACAUUUGUUUACUUGGUUUGAUCCCCUCUCCAAGACAAUAUAGUUCAUUAGUAAUAGAUAUGAACCUGAUAUGCAUCUCUUAGAUGGUUUCACCUUUCUUCAGUGUGAAGGUUUUGUAUUUAGUAGUGGGCAUGUAUACCUUGGACUCAUUGACUUGACUUGUACCCUCAUGGAUCUUAUUUAAGCACUCCUAAAUCUUUUUUGUUGAUUCAAACACAGAGAUUUUGUUAUACUCAUUAGGCCCUCUCCCACACACGAGCAAGUUCUUGGCUUUGUAGCGCUUUUUAAUUUUCUUUCAAUCAUUUUUUCAUAUGCCUUUUUGUGUCCUUGCGACUAUUUUUAUUACACCUUCUUUCUUGACUUCUUUAAUAGGAACAUGUUGUCCAUCAUAUAUAAUGUCCCACAACUCACUAUCUUCUGCCAUUAUGAUAUAUGAGUCUUUCACCAUUCACAAAAUUGUCUGUUAAAAUGAGGUGGUUAGUGGUUGACUAACUUUCUUCUAAUUUGAGUGCCAUCAAGAAGGAUAUUCUCUAGGUGUAAGACUUAGAGGAAGUACUUUCUCUGAUACCAGUUUUUGGCUUAUAUGAGUCCACCACGAGCCACGGGAUCAGGUCCCUUAAUAGAUUUCCAUAACAGAGGCUUAUAUGAGACCAGGUCCCUUAACAAUGAAAUACAACAACUUAGCAAGUAAUGAAGUUAGAUGUAGAAAGGUAAACAACACACAAUGUUUACAUGGAAACCUCCUUGCUCAAGGAAGGAAAAAUCAAGACCUACAAUACAACAACAAUAAGCCCAAUGUAUUCCCACAUAGUGGGGUCUGAGGAGGGUAAAAUAUAUGCAGUCCAUACCGCUACCUACGAAGAAGUAGAGAGGCUAUUUUCAAUAGACCCAGAGAGGCUAUUUUCGAUAGACCCCCAGCUCAAGAUAAAGUAUAGUAAACAUAGUCGUAAUGAAAUGUGAAACAGGAUGGGUGGCUUAACAGAGUAAAAAAUCAGAAAUAGUAAAAUAGAACUCAGAGAAAUACGGAAUAGGAGAACUAAGAGUCAUAAGCAAUAAGAAAUAAGACUUGUUUCUCAAAACAUUCCAAUACGGAAUAGAAAAACUAAGACCUGUUUCUCAUAAUUUUCCAGCUCUCUACUAACUCCAAGAAAUAACAUGAUUACAGACACGAGUAAUCACAAGGAUUAAACUCUUAAUUUUAACUCUUUGUAACAACUCUAUUACAAGACAGAUGCAAUAAUUCUACCAUGCCACCAUGUCAACUAACUCUAGCCAACACUCCUAGGUAACUCUACCCAAACUUGUGCAACAACUCUGCUACACACUUUAAAUCAGCUAACUCUAGUUGACACUCCUAGUUAACUCUAGCCAAGAGAAACACCAUGAAUAGUGAAAAUAAAAUUGACUAAAACACUAGAUGAUUCGACUAAUUAACCAUAGUUAAUGCAACUCAACCUAAAGACUUAGAAAAGUGAAAUAUCUACUAUCCUUUAUAACAUAGGAGUAGAUUUUUUAAAAACAAAAGACACAAGACUCAAAAAUGCAACAAAGACUAAAGCAACAACUCAAUCAAGUCUUUUUGUUGAAAUGGGCAAUGUUCUUCUUAUGAGAUGGUGUUUUCUUUGGAAGAUAAAUCUUUUGAGCUUUGCAAAAACUAGGUUUUGCUCUUGUAACUUUAACUUAUAUAAGAGAGAGAAAAACCUAGGCAUCAUCUCAUUGGUCCAAGUUGGACAGGACCACUAUGCCUCUACUGCAGUGUCCACUAACCAGCUAUAGAAAAGUAUACUUUACAGUUGUACAGAAUUAACUUCAAUAAUCACAGACUAGGUCCCAUAAAACCACAAACCAAGUCCCUUGAAACCAUAGACCAGGUCCAUAGUAGCAUGGACUAGGUCCUUUGCAGUAGUUGUUGGUCAUGUACAACAGAAAAGCUUCUUGUCCGUGGUUAUAUGGCUAAUAGAAGUCUCUCAUCCUUCCUCCAUGGAUGAGGAUUGCUAUUGGUAUAACAAAAGGAAUCUUUUCCUAUAUACAAAAGAAAACAUAAUACAUGGGAAUCUUACAUCAAGUAACAUACUUCUUGAUGAGAAAAACAACCCAAAGAUGGCAGAUGUGGGACUCUCCAGGCUUAUGACCACUAAUGGAAAUACCAACAUAAUUGCCACUACAGGCAUGCUAGCUUAUCACACACUAGAGUUUUCCAAAAUCAAUAACGCAAGCACUAAUAUGGAUGCCUAUAGUCUUGGAGUGAUCAUCUUGGAGCUCUUAAUUAGAAAUUCACCUAGUGAGGCAAUAGAUGGUCUCAAUUUUACAUAGUGGGUAGCUUUCAUUGUGAAAGAAGAGUGAACUAAUAAAGUGUUUGAUGUGGAACUUAUGAGGGAUGUACCUAAUAUUGGUGAUGUGUUGUUUAAUACAUUGAAAUUAGCUUUUCAUUGUGUUGAUCCCACACCAACUACUAAGCAUGAUGCUCUGUGAGUACUAUAGAAUUUAGAGGAGAUAAAGUCAGAGCUGAUAUUAACAGCUACCGGUUAUGGAGAAAAUAGCACAAUAGUUCAAGAAAUGAGUGUAUAAACUCUAUUUUUUCACAAUGUUGAUUGAAAUAAGUAUGGAAACUUUUGAGCUUUUUGUUUUAUAUCUAGUUGGUUAUUCUUUCAUUUUUUCUAGUUAGUGGAUUUAUUGAUUCAUGAUGUCGCUCAAAAGCACACCUCCUUAAAAGUAUCAAGCAGUCAAUGUCAAAAUAUAGUAACCCAACUAUGUUGGGAUCGAACCAACAGGAAAUAGGGAAGAACUAUCUCUCAAACUUGUUGAAACAGUUGGGCAGUGCAGAAAAAUAAAUGGGGGGAGUUGUUUAAUCAAUACAAAGUAACAAAACUCGAAUGCUUUUGGUUGUAAACAAUCUGAAAUUAAUACUAUAACUGUGUUCCCCUGCCUUUCUAACUCCGUAGGUUUAUCAUGCUCCAUUGAACAAUCUAAUAUCUUGCAUGCAAAAUUUGAUAAGUUAUGUAUCAUUAACCAUCUUUUGAAUACCUUUAGUGAAUUUUACUCUUUACCUUGUGAGUCUCAGAGUGUCUCCUUACUAACCCUUAUCCUAGAUCCCAAAUUAACUAUUACUUGUUCAGUCUCUAGUUAAUUAGAUGAGAGGGCAAUUAUAAGAUGGAAGUGAAUCUCAGAUUACUGUCUAAUCUUCUUUUCUUAAUCUCUACCCCUCUUUUGAAGUAAGUAGUGAAUACAGGUGGGUUCUUAAUGUUUGCAACUGCUAAGAAAUAUAUUAAAUUAAAGAUGAACACAAUACAUGCAAGAAUAUUGGUUAGGAACAAUGUUGUACUUCACCUACUUUGUUAUUUAGCCAGGGAUACCACAAUCCUACCUAAGAGAAUUAGUCGCUCAUAGUUGUGAAAUAAUCCAUAGAAUUCAUAAGUAAAAGUAUAGAAUCAAUCACAAUAAUAGACGAAGAAACCCGAAGUCUCAAAUCAAUAAAUCAACCAAAAACUACGAAGACAAGAAUCCAAAGAUCAAAAUCCAAUCUUGGAAUUAAAAUGUAUGUUUGUGAAUAGUAUGAAUGCGGAGACUAACUAAAAAACAUCAAAUGGGUAUUUAUAGAUUAUAUGAAAACCCUAGAAAACCCUUCUAAUACAAAAGAGGAAAAUUGGAGGCGAUGGCUACCUACGGAGCCACUUAUAGAUCGUAGGUGGCACCUACAGUCUGUAGGUGGCCCCACAUAGGUGCCAGACAUCCAAAACUCCUACAAGAACUCUCUUAACUUCAUCUUCUGAAAAUUCAUCUGGCACCUACGCCACAUACGUAGAACCUACAGGUAGUAGGUGCCCACAUAGGUGGUCCAAAACUCAAGUUUUCACUUCUUUUCUCCUGUUUAGCUCUCAAAACCUAGUUUUCCGCAAAACACAUCAUAUCUAAGAAAAUGACCUAAGUAACUGCAUAUUUUCAUAAAUUUAAGCAUUGAAAGUCUAUGAAACCAUAGCACAUCAAUUCAUAUUAAGAUCUAGUAUAUAAUAAACUAUAUAUAGUUUGUGAUUGUUGCACAGGUUAUACUAAUAAAGAAAAACAUUUUGUUCAAUUCACUUUAUUCAUUGUAAUGUAUAAAAUAAAUGCAUAUCUAUUUUUUAUGAGAUACAAGCGAUAGAUUGUUGUUGUGUUACAUGUGACUAUUCAUAUUAGUGAUUUCAGAAAUUCAGUCAAAGCUAGAACCCAGUUUAUAUCCUCUACUUACUUCACCAAAAGAAGAAUUCAGUUUAUAUCCUUUAUUAAAUAUUAUCCAGUCCAUAUUACAAUAUUCCCCUCUGUUUAAAAUAAAAUGAUCUAGUUUAACUUGACACGAAGUUUAAUAAAAUAAAGAAGACUUUUGAUUCUUGUGGUCUUGAAUUUAAGUUAUGUCAAAUGUAUCAAAUUGGCCUUUAGUCUUGUGGUCUUAAAUAUGCUAUGUGGAAAUUAGAAUUAAAGUAUUGCUAAAAAAGUAAAUGAUUAUUCUUUUUGAAACAUUUUAAAAUAAAAAAUAGGUCAUUCUUUUUGUGAUAGAGAGAGUAAGUCUUUUAGGGUAAGGAGGUUUUUGCACACUCCUUAAAAAAGUUAUACAAUAUUAUCUAAACUAACUUGUUGUUUUUCUAAAACAUGAAAUUAAUUUAAUAAAAGAAAUGCCAGAAACGUGUACGGGGUAAAUAGCUUGUAAAGAAACUUGGUCGAGUCAGGUCAAAUGUAACAUGGGUCUGCCUAUGAAGGGGCCUUCUUAGGAGCAAGUUCGACAGUAGGAAGGGCCACUCGAGUGGAAUCAUAAGUACCUGAGGGAAUUAACGAUAUAUACCUCAUAUGAAGGACUGACAAAGAGGACAAUGCGUUGGGCUUGGUGACUUUGGACUGAACAAUGUUAGAUACGUAGUAUUGGGAUAUCAUCCCCCAACGCCCUGAGAACAAAUGGCCAAAGGUCAUUGGACGUAGUACAAUGGGCUCAGGGAAUAACGCUAUCCUAUUAGUCGAAAGGCAACCUCUAUCCCGUGGUGUGAAUUCUGUGGGAUACAUGGCCACGACACUAGGGAUUGUUAUCACCUUUGAGAACCAGUCACCGAACUGCUCAAUGGUGGACACCCCAAAGAGUUCCUGAACAAGCGAGUCAAGGGCAACUAUGGAAAAGGCGCCAAAGGCAACUCGACACCCGCGGGAUCAGGAGCUCCAAGGAAGGCUUAAGCUAAUAUUAGGCCUCGACAAGACGGGUAUGCAUCCUCUCACAUUUCAUUUAUCUAAUGAUAUUUUUCUUUUGAGUUCUCUUAAAGGUAUCCCACGGUAAAGUUCAGACACGACAGCGGAUGACUCAAAAGAACAAAGCUACACUCUUUUUUCCUUCAACCAGUUUUUUUCCUAAAAAGGGUUUAUAUGGCAAGGUUUUUAAUGAGGUAGCAGUGAGGACUUCCAAAAAAUUAGAAAAUAUCAUUUGUUUUCUCUCGGUUAAAGACACUACCCAAUAACAACCAAAUAAAUAGAAAGGAAAGUUUGUGUAUUUGCAUGCUUGUUCCCAUCCUGAAUUUUUGAUUAGUGAUUAUCAGUCAAAUCAUUUUGUUUAAAAGAGAGCAAGGCUCCUCGAGGCCAAAAUACCAACCCUCUAUAAGCCACGAGGAGAAGACUUCAAGUGAUAUCUCUCGAUAUCCCAAAAAGAAAGCGAGGCUAUAACUUCAUGGCCUACACAAAGGGUUGCAAAAACAUAUAAGUCACUACAUCCCGAUACUAAAGACUAGGGACUGGCUUUCGUAUGCAGAGGAACUCGAAACAUGAACUCGCUCUAAAUCUUAAACAAAAUCCACAUCAUUCGAUAGUGACAAAGCUUGCGUCCGCUAUGUUGUAGGGACAAAAAAGGCCUGAACGAGAGGCACCAUUAAUGGUUAGUUCGAGUGAAAUUAUAUGAAAAAUGACUAAAAUAAAGAGACGUGAUCGCUCUUACACUAUGUGCUAAAGUACCUUGGAGAUGUCCCAACUUAGAUGCACAACAACUUAAAAAAUUAAAAGGGUCUUUUCUCACUUUGAUGAGGUUAAAUUAGGAUAAAACGCCUAAAAAUUUAAGACUCAUUGAAAAGGACACAGAGGCUUGCAAAAUAAAAAAAAAUAGUUCGCGAUUAACCUAUAAUAUCUAGAACAAACUUGAUAUUUGCAACAUAAAAUAUACAAAUCCUAGAGAGGAUUAGACCACCAAAGAGUCACCUCAAGAGGAAUAUUAAUUGCAAAAGAUAGAUUUAAAAAGUCAUUAAAAAUUAAACAAAUGUGCAAUACAAAUAAUUCUCUAAAGUCAAGUACAGAGUUAUUAUAGAAGGAAAAAUCAUGCAACAAAGACUUUCUAACAAGAAAAGAGUGUUAGAAACAACAAAAGAGGUGAGCCCGUUCUCCAAGGGCACAUACAAUGUCCUUCUUGCAUUUUGGGGAGUCGCCUGACUGAAUGUCAUCAUCAACAAACUCACAAACUUGGGCCAAAUGGCUUCGACUGACAAACUGGGAGCCCUUGGCUUCGAGUGCUUGGCGUUGGAUACUAAGGAGAGGCUUAACCGUCUUUUGUUCCAAAUAGUUUGAAAAAAGCAGAUUUGAGGAACUUUAACUGGGAGAUCCCGCUAGCAAAAGUCUGGAUAGUACUGAGGUAGACCCCACCUCACAAAUAAGCUUCUACAAAAUAGGCUCACACGACUCUUUCUUCCUGCCAUGAUCGGCUUCAUCUCGGACAACUGCCAUACCCAAUACUAUCAAUGCUGAAAAAAUAGAAACAAGCCCUCGCACUGGGGAAAGAGAGAAACCAUGCCUAUCGUAAUCUUCUAUUUUCCUGAGCCACACCCACAGUUUUCAAUUUACCCAUAUGAAAAAUUUAAGAGAAAUCAUAUGAGGACAAGCUCUGGGAUAAAAAACAAGGAUAAGGAAAAAAUUAUAGUGAAACCCAGGGCAAAGGCAAUAUAGUUGGGGGAAUCCAAGAAAAACACCAUGAAGGAAAAACAACUUAUUAUGAGUAGCUUUCACUAAAGGGAUAAAAGGCGUGGGAAAGAAUGUGGUGCUAGAAAUGGUAAUUUAUACAUAAAAAUCCAUUAAUAUGUAAGACGCUAAGAAGCAUGGAUUAUUCCCAUGUGUUUGGACCGAUCAUAUAUAACGGAAUCCAAAGGGAAAAUACUCGGCAAAUAAUGUAUCUGGUUGCACAUCAAUGCUUUUGAUGAUUCGUACCCUUCCUUUUUGACUCCAAAGGCAAAUAAGCCCAAAAAGCUAACGCAAUGCUUUGAGUAAGGGUUAUUAAGCACAGAGCUCGAUAAAAAUAUGCAAAUAAAUGGAUCAGUUUGGAAAAUUGACAUAUCUUCAUACUUACAUUGCCUUCGAGAGGGCUUGAAAUCAUUUGAGCGGAGUAAAUGGCAAAAUUUCCAGGAGUAGAAAGUCCCACAACACCACCUAAUGGCAGGGAGUUGAUAGGAUAAAUCGGCCAUAUUAGGAGCACUAAUAAGGUCCUCUCACAAGGAUGGAAAGUAUGGGUGUUACCGCCAACGACUCUAGGAAGACCCCGUCCCUUCAUAUCAAUUUACGGAGCCCCCUCAAAUAAAAAUGCCAAAGAGGUGAGGCCAUGAGGUGGUCACACUAUGUAAAUAAAAAUUCUAAUCUAACCUAAUUAUUUGAGUCCCAUUGUUAGCUCUAGGAUGGUCCUACCCAGUUAGAAGUUUACGCAAAAGGAGUGAAAAAACCAUAUUAAAAAAUGGCGACAAGAAAGUUGAGAAGACAAAAAAUGUUAUUAUUGUUUAAAAAAAAGAGGGAAGAAAUUACAUAGUACAAGGCUUUUA